ACGAUCUAUAAGCUACGAGGCAGGAUUCGAGGCUGUGCUUCGGUCGUCAGACAGGCACACUCACGCGGAAGAACGUCGCCCACCAGUUCAGUGAAGCGAGAAAUCUUGAUGCACUCAACUGAGUCAUUAGGAGACGUGGAAACAAGAUGGAUGACUCGUCCGAUGGACAAACCGGUCAUUUACAUAAGACAUGUACGAAGUUGCAUGACACAUGAAGGAAUCCACUCCGGAGCUGACAGUUCUGUUCUAAAUCUGUAUUCAUCUAGUUUCACCACCGAAACCGAUGAAUCACAGUCACCGUAGUUGAUACACACAUCAUAAUAAGUAGAUGUUAUUCAUCGCGUUUAAUUAGGUCUACAUCUGAAUGAAAAUAUCUCAGGGCUUCGACUGUUUUAAAGAUUCAGGAGGUGUGGUUGACAUCCUAUCCGUAAACGUGGGGUUCUAGGGUCAUUAACCAAACUCCGGCGUGUGUAAGAAACAUGAGAUUUGUGAUGAUCGUCUGUUUACUUUCCAUGUUGUUUUAAAUAUAUUUUCUUAAAAAUAAAUGUACGUUUCUCGGUCCACUAAACCUCCGACUCUUCGAGGAGUGACUCAUCCGCAUGCCAAGUCUCCUCUGACUCUGACGCACGGAGCGAUGACGCUUGAGAGACGCCAUCUGUCGUCGUCGGACGGAGCAUCCUCGUACUUGACCCUCGUUACCUAGCACUUAACAACCGACAGGGUUAAUGACAUUCAACUGUAGUACUUUGUGUAAUAAGUAAAUAAAAGUGCGGACUAUUAAAUGUAAUCCCGUCGGCACGAUAUCUGAUACUACUACUUUAAUUCAUUGACAAAUUUCGUCUCAAUGCUUUAAACCCUACUGCUAACUAUGUGUGCCACUUGCUAAGCAAUCAGUAAAGCUGCACUUUUUAUUUAUGGAAUUCGUAUGAUUCCCACCUUUCACAUCGAUUAUUUUAAUGGUGAAGUGAUGUGUUUACUUUGCGGUAUGGACUGGAUUAUUAAAUAUUAUUUAGACGAGCUCCCUCUUUAAUAGAGUAAUCGUCGCAUAUUGAAGCAUUACUUUUUCCAGGUUAUUUAAUUACGAUGUUUGUACUUGAUGAAUUUUAUGGCGUUAGAGGAAUGGGAAGAACUUCUUGAAGGGUUGGUUUACGCUAUGAGGAUUUGGAACGAAGCUGUUGUAUAUUUUAACAUGUCAUCUCGCAGUUUCUUGGAGAGGCAAGGAAACGCAGGAACAAUUUGAAAAUUCCUUGUGGCAUGAUCAAUAUUCGAAGUAGGUACGUCCCGAAUACAAGUAUUAAAGCUACAUUUGAAUAUUAAUUUUGGGGAUUUUAACGUGGUUAUCAGUAGCCCAAACUUUUGAAAUGUGGUUGACUUUUUAUGUGAUUCAUUUGUUUUAGAGUUCUCUAAACUCUUGACUAAUUCAUUUAAUUGUGAGUACACACAUAUACACAUUCAUCAUAAGGUAUAAUGACAUGGUGUAAGCGACGUUGUCUCAAAACCUAGUCACAUUAUAUUUUUGUACUUACAAACUAUGAGUAUUUCAGAUGGCUCAGACCUAGAUAGGUUGCCAGUGGAUUUAUUGGUUCUAGUCCAAUCCCUUAAUUCGGUGGGUCAGAGUAGCUAUUUGUCAGCGUUUAUAGAAAAGGCGGCAGGUGAUUCUGCACUAUUUGUCAUACCGUGAGGGACGCAUGUACAAGGCUUGCAUGUUCCGAGGUCUUCAUCUUACGUCUAUUGGCCGAAUUUCUACACUGCAUGCUGUUCACAGCGUUUUCGACACUUGGUAACACCGCACUCAGGCUAUUUUUUUUAAAUAACUAAGUUUUUGCCUUGUCUGUGCAAACUACGGCUCUUGGAUAACUGGUAUUCUAGUUUAAGAAAGAAAGCAAACCUUUUUCAAGGAAAAAACUGUCGUCUGAAAUAUUAUUUUCUCAUAAUUUAAGCCUAAGUUGUGAAAACCUCUGAAGAAACCAGCUAUUAUGAGUAUCAAAGACUGACGCUGAUUGGUUCAACUCUCAUCACGUGAUACAAUGCUUAUUUAUGCAUGAAUGUUAUAAAAUCUUCUCGGGCGAUCACUUGCACGAAUGUUGAAUCAAAAACCGACGUUUUGGAAAUAUAAUUAGUUUCCGACAUGGCAAAUCGCCCGAGAAGAUUCUGUAAGUUAAAGUUUGUAAUAGCUCGAUUAGCACUCGCCCAUCGUCUGGUUUGAAUCGUGGCUUUGUUUAACUGACGAAAUGAGGUCUGUUUCGUCUCUGACAUAACGCCUUGACCGUGAUACGCCUGUACUCAGUGAGUCAUU